rnacentral:lncRNA from 1 species
UACUUAUAUAUGCUAUGAUAAUUAUCAUGUACACCUAAAUAGACUAAUAAUUUAAUAUGAAAACAGAUUCUUUUAUAUUGUUCAAAUGUAAUGGGUAAUAUCUAAUGAAAUACUUCUAUAAUUUACCUAUAGUUUGAUAAUAAAGAAGAAUUUUUAAAAUAUAUAAUAACUUGGUAAGCAAUAUUUCACAAUAUUUCAGAUUUCUUGAUCUUUGUUUCAGUUUCAGGGUACCUGCAGAAUACAGACAUUUUGAGUUAAGAAAACCACACGUCUAUCUUCAAAAUUGAGAUUACCCUCUAUAUUUCAUUUUUCAUAAUUGCACAGAGCUGGCUUUCACUCCAGACUUUUGUUCUCUUUUCUUCAAGCUGUUUACGUCUUAUUAACCAUUCAAAAUGCUUCUCAGCCCCCACCUCCUCUGUGAAGCUUUCUCUGACCAACUCCCAACCCCUCAAGCUUUCUCCACUCUCUCUGCCCCCUCCUUACCUGGCUGGGGUCACACUGGGCUUCAUUUAUCUCUUUACACAUCUGCCCCCUUUGUCUCCCCUGCUAGAUAGAGCAACGUCAUUAAGAAAAGUGUUUUUCUCUGUUUGUUGCCCAAGAGCCUAUUACAGGGUGUGGUAUAUAACAGGUAUCAAAUAAAUAUUUGUGAACCUGAACUGGUCCUGUGUGGUAAGGCUGCUGGGAGCUGUCUCCUUUUGAAGUUUACCCACGAUCCAUUACAAAAUUCAUAUAAUGUGCUGCAACUGUCUACCGAGAAGAUACAGACCAUAGUUACACAUGCUCAGUUUCAUCGAGGACAUUCAUCAGGAAUGAGAGUGAGCCCCCCAGGGCAGCUCUUCGUUGUAGUAAUACCUGACAAGCUUACUCCAGUAGAUUUGAAGAUAGACAGGUAUAGCUCCUUGACCUAUAGGUAUGGUUGGGUUUCCCUUCUAGAAGCUCCAUGAUGGCUGGGACUUGUUCACCAUGGCUUCACCCGUGCAGUAAACAGCACCUGGCACAUAGUCGUGGGUGCUUAAUAAAUAUUCAGGGAGUGAAUGAAUGAGAGAAACGAAUGCUAAAAGAUAACGGUAGGCUAAAAAUACUUUGUAAUCGGAAACAGAAUGUGUGCUUCAUAAUUCAGUAGUAAAGUCAUUUAAGGUGGUGUGGUGAUAUGGAGAGAGCCCUAGCCCAGAAGUCAGGAUUCUUGGGUUCCAAUAAUCAUGACAAUAACUUCUAGGUUUUGAGCGUGCUAGCACCAUGUAAGUCACUUUACUAGGCCACAUCAUUUAAAAUCUCACCACAUCCCCAAGAGGUGGGGACCAUGGAAGGUGGUGUGAAUUGAGCAUCCACAUCACAGAGUGGGUGCCCCGGGGGGCCUGCACUCGAACCCAAGUCUGAGCCAAAGCCUGUGUUCUUCCCACCCUGUGGUCCUGGCUCUCCCUGUGACCUUAGACAGGACAUUUAAUCUUUGGGUUCUCAAUUUUCUCAUCUUAAAAAAAAAAAAAAGAAGCCUAGAAUCUCUAAGGUUCCUUUCAGUUUUAAAAUUUAGCGUUUUGAAAGCAGGGAGUUUGGUCAGAGGGGUAGAAUAGGUGGUUUUGUUAUUAUUAGUUUUUAUUGGUUUGUUGGUUUCUUAGUAAGUACAGAAAAGGAAAGGAAACCUUGAGUCAUUUUGAAAAAUCUUGCAAAACAGUAAGUAUUUUUCUACAUGCAGCUCAUCCCCACCCCCGCACACUGUAUUAUGGGAGAUUUACUCUCUUCCCCUUUAACAAAAUGUUUUCUCACAGACUACAGCCUUGUAGCAGCAUG